rnacentral:rRNA from 1 species
CCUACGGGCGGCUGCAGUCGAGGAUCUUCGGCAAUGGGCGCAAGCCUGACCGAGCGACGCCGCGUGUGCGAUGAAGGCCUUCGGGUUGUAAAGCACUGUCGAGGGGGAGGAAGCCGAAAGGUUGACCUAUCCCUGGAGGAAGCACGGGCUAAGUUCGUGCCAGCAGCCGCGGUAAGACGAACCGUGCAAACGUUGUUCGGAAUCACUGGGCUUAAAGGGCGCGUAGGCGGGCCAGCCAGUCUGUGGUGAAAUCUUUCGGCUUAACCGGAAAAGUGCCUUGGAUACUGCUUGUCUUGAGGGAGGUAGGGGCAUGCGGAACUUCUGGUGGAGCGGUGAAAUGCGUUGAUAUCAGAAGGAACGCCGGUGGCGAAAGCGGCGUGCUGGACCUCUUCUGACGCUGAUGCGCGAAAGCUAGGGGAGCAAACGGGACUAGAUACCCU